UAAAAAGUCAACGUUUCAGCUCCCACAUGGAGCUUUCAUCAGGGCAAAACAUCGAAAGCUCCAUGUGGGAGCUGAAACGUUGACUUU